rnacentral:rRNA from 1 species
AGACUUGAGUGCAGGAGAGGAGAGUGGAAUUCCUAGUGUAGCGGUGAAAUGCGUAGAUAUUAGGAGGAACACCAGUUGCGAAGGCGGCUCUCUGGACUGUAACUGACGCUGAGGCACGAAAGCGUGGUGAGCAAACAGGAUUAGAUACCCUGGUAGUCCACGCUGUAAACGAUGAGUACUAGGUGUCGGGGGUUACCCCC